CGGGGAGUAGCGCAGUCCGGUAGCGCGCCUGCUUUGGGAGCAGGAUGUCGCAGGUUCGAAUCCUGUCUCCCCGA
rfam:Porphyrobacter sp. LM 6, complete genome.